rnacentral:lncRNA from 1 species
AAAAUUGAUGCUAGUUUUAAUCCUAUGGCGAAUACAUUCUUAUCCUUCUCGGUGAGAGGGAUUGAAGAUAGUUCAAUGACGUAACCAAAAAACAGUGAGGGUCUCAUGCUCUAUGUGCACACAACCAAGUCUUCAUCAGAAUAAGAAGAACACAUAUAAAAUUAUUUAAGGAUCAAGACUCUGUCCAUGUGUUACUACAGCAUCUGAAAGAAAUUUACCAUGUCUAAUGGAAUCACCUGCUCUUCCUGAGUGGUCCUCAAGAUGGCGUGUCAGCCUCAUGGCCUUGGGACAUGCAAAUAUCAUCCAGCCAUCAUUGUGUAAGCACCUGUGCUGAAACUGGACCUGAGAAGGCCCUAUGAA